rnacentral:tRNA from 1 species
GAGGGUAGAGCUUAGUGGUAGAGCACAUGCUUAGGAAGCAUGAGGUCAUGGAUUCGAUCCCCAGUACUUCCA